rnacentral:lncRNA from 1 species
CAUCAUCAGAAAGAUACAACUAAAUCAACAUAUCAUAAAUGAUAAUUCUGAUAGCCAGAUGAGCACCAGGUAUGUGGCACCUCCAAUAAUCAUCUAAACUGUUGGACUCAUUAUUAUCUAACUUAAUGGGAGGCUAUGAUCUAGUUAUCAUCAUGACUAUUUCAUUGUAGGGACUUAACAAUUUUAGAGGAUUUAAUUAGUUGAAUUAAGAGAUGGGCAAAGACUUGACCAGUUAAUCUUAAUCCUCCCACU